GGGCACUGAUGAUCGAUAUUAUACCAUCAAACUAUGAAAGCUCAAAGUUGAGCUUGUUGAUGUAAUUAAUCGUAAUAACGCUGAGCCC
rfam:Jatropha curcas cultivar GZQX0401 scaffold392_61, whole genome shotgun sequence.